GACAGAGGUGCCGAGCGUUAGGCGGAAUCACUGGGCUUAAAGCGCGUGUAGGCGGAUCUGUAAGUACCUUGUGAAAUCCCACGGCUCAACCGUGGAACUGCUUGGUAUACUGCGGGUCUUGAGCCACCUAGGGGCAAGUGGAACAAACGGUGGAGCGGUGAAAUGCGUAGAUAUCGUCUGGAACGCCAAAGGUGAAAACAGCUCGCUGGGGUUGUGCUGACGCUGAGACACGAAAGCCAGGGGAGCGAACGGG
rnacentral:rRNA from 1 species